rnacentral:rRNA from 1 species
UGGCGGACGGGUGAGUAACGCGUGGGUAACCUGCCCUGUACAGGGGGAUAACAGUUGGAAACGGCUGCUAAUACCGCAUAAGCGCACGAGAGGACAUCCUCUUGUGUGAAAAACUCCGGUGGUACAGGAUGGGCCCGCGUCUGAUUAGCUGGUUGGCAGGGUAACGGCCUACCAAGGCGACGAUCAGUAGCCGGUCUGAGAGGAUGAACGGCCACAUUGGGACUGAGACACGGUCCAA